GAUGAACGCUGGCGGCGUGCCUAAUACAUGCAAGUCGAGCGAAGCGGGGACGGGAGAGUAACACGUGGAUAACCUCCUAUAAGACUGGGAUAACUUCGGGAAACCGGAGCUAAACCGGAUACUUAUAGACGGAUCCGCGCUGCAUUAGCUUGUUGGUAAGGUAACGGCUUACCAAGGCAAGGAUGCAUAGCCGACCUGUGAUGGUGGUAGGCCACACUGGAACAAAGACACGGUGCAGACUCCUACGGGAUGCGACCGUAGGGAAUCUUUCGGAAAAGGCUAACGCCAAACGGAGCGACGCCGCGUGAGUGAUGAAGUGCUUCGGAUCGGAAGACUCUGUUAUUAGUGAAGCGGUACCUAAGCAGAAAGCCACGGCUGACUACGAGGCAGCAGCCGCGGUAAUAC
rnacentral:rRNA from 1 species